rnacentral:misc_RNA from 1 species
UGAGAACACAUGAAAGGAGUCUUAAAAGAGUUUUUGACAUAAACCAACAAGUUCUCAGUCCAACAGAUUAAACAAACAGAACCUGUUUGCCUUAAACAACCUACAUUGUCCAGCAUUAGUUUUCACAGAAACAAAUAUGUACAAGGGCGUUUCAACCUUAACGCCCUAUUUUUCAUCUCUCCCUCUAUGACGCGGACUCGAAACUUGGACACAGCACAUCUCAGUGAGCUGGAUGGAGAACUCGUGCACGGUGAGCUUGGACAGAGCACGCACAAUGCACAGAGGUUAAGUUCAGGCAUCCGCUGAUGAUGAGAGAGUGUCGCUCGGGGCAUGUGUGCAGAGCAGGAAAUGCUUCACAUACUGCUUGAACGGCGGGAGGUGUGAGAGCAGUGCAUUGGCUGAUGUUUAGAUUCAUAAGCCCUUCAUCCUCGUUCCUGUGCUUCUUCAUAGACGCCCACAUCUCGUGCUUGUUCUUGACCCGACUCUGAGCUAGAGAGUACAUUGCCCUAUCUGUGAUGUACUGGCAGAAGUAUAGGCCGAGGGACCUCAAGUGAGGGCAAUUGUUUGCCAAAGCAAUCACGGUCUCAUCUGUUAUAAGGACACAGCCACACAGAUCAAGGGCUCUGAGAUCAGGACAGCCAUAAGCCAAACUCAUUACACCUUCAUCACCAACUUUAUCGCACCAACCAAGAUUUACAGUCUGCAGUCGGUUACAGUAGUAACCAAUAGCCUUCAAUGCCUGAUCAGUUGCAGCUUUAACACAACCACAAAGGUUUAAGACUCUUAGGUUUCGGCAACGCUCAGCUAGGUAUGCAACAGCAUUAUCACUGAAAGCAGAACACCCACUGAUAUUCAGCUUUGUGAGGUUUGGACAGCCGUGAGCUAAAGCAUAAAGGGAACGAUCAGUCAGCUUGAAACUCUUGCUAAGAUCAAGGUCUUGCAAUUCAUGACAGUGAUUGGCAAUUGUCUCGAUACCAACAUCCUCAAGUUGUGGUAAAUCUUGUCUUAGAGUUAGAACCUGCAGCUUUGUGAACUUGGGGGCAAGUGUCAGCACUAAAUUGUUCAUAUUCCUCUUGCACCAAGAAAGGGAAAGACGAGUGAGUCCCCAAGAAAUUGCAUCUCUCCAUCCACUACAAACACAAGAAGCCAGAAUCACCGAGCGAUCAUCCACAAGUGAAGCAAUCCUCAACAACAACUCCAUAGGUAUAUCCUUCCACUCUCUGAUCAUCGCCCCACCCCCCAUUUUACAAACCCCACCUCUGCUGCCAUUGUUCACAAACAGCUUAUCCAAGCUCAAAUCUUCUACCCCUAUCAUUUGUUUCUACUCAAAGUUGUAAUCUUUUUACACCCCACAAACUCCUACCUCUAUAUAUACACAAAAAACACAAGGAAAAGCCCAAAAAAG